GACGAACGCUGGCGGCGUGCUUAACACAUGCAAGUCGAACGGAAAGGCCCUGCUUUUGUGGGGUGCUCGAGUGGCGAACGGGUGAGUAACACGUGAGUAACCUGCCCUUGACUUUGGGAUAACUUCAGGAAACUGGGGCUAAUACCGGAUAGGAGCUCCUGCUGCAUGGUGGGGGUUGGAAAGUUUCGGCGGUUGGGGAUGGACUCGCGGCUUAUCAGCUUGUUGGUGGGGUAGUGGCUUACCAAGGCUUUGACGGGUAGCCGGCCUGAGAGGGUGACCGGCCACAUUGGGCUGGGGUACGGGCCCGGCUCCUACCGGGAGGAACCGUUGGGGAUUUUUCCCCAAUGGCCGGAACCUGGUUCCACAACCGCCGCUGCGGGAUGACGGCCUUCGGGUUGUAAACCGCUUUCGCCUGUGACGAAGCGUGAGUGACGGUAAUGGGUAAAGAAGCACCGGCUAACUACGUG
rnacentral:rRNA from 1 species